rnacentral:rRNA from 1 species
AGCGAACGCUGGCGGCAGGCCUAACACAUGCAAGUCGAACGGACCCUUCGGGGUUAGGGGCGGACGGGUGAGUAACACGUGGGAACGUGCCUUUAGGGUCGGGAUAGUUCCUGGAAACGGGUGGUAAUGCCGAAUGUGCCCUUCGGGGGAAAGAGUUGUCGCCUUUAGAGCGGCCCGCGUCUGGUCAGCUAGUUGGUGAGGGAAAGGCUGACCAAGGCGAAGAUCAGUAGUGGGUCUGGGAGGAUGACCAGCCACAUUGGGACUGAGACACGGAACAGAAUCCUACGGGAUGCAGCAAGGGGGAAUCUUGCGCAAUGGGCUAAAGCCUGACGCAGCCAUGCCGCGUGAAUGAUGAAGGUCUUAGGAAUGUAAAAUUCUUUCACCGGGGAGGAUAAUGACGGUACCCGGAGAAGAAGCCCCGGCUAACUUCGUGCCAGCCGCCGCAGUAACAC